GGAUUUAGCUGGAAAUACGAGAAGCAAGUCCUCUGUCAAUUAUGAAUAAUUUCAUGUUGAUGCGAGCCCUGAAACAAUCCGUACAAAUUCAUUUGUCACGAUGAAUUACGUUCAGUUAGUUGGAAAUUUGAUAACAACCAAAAUGUGAUAUCAUUUACCCAUGGGCUAAUCUCAAAACUUACUCAAACUACGAAGCGGAAAUGUGUUUAAUUCGCUCAAUAAUUAAACACAUUUAAAAUGGCGUUCCUCUACAUCGACCGAUUGAAGAGUGAUUUUCCAACAGCCGAACGUUUUAUUUUUCGCACGAGUGCUAGUGAAAAUUGGUUUUCAUGGCUUUUGAUUAAACUCUUUCGUGACCAGGAACGCAAAAAGUCCAAUUCUAAAGAAUGUCAAGUUAAAAGCGUUUCUAUGAAUUUCGUACCAAGAACACCGAAAAUCACAACUAUUGGUUUACGACUGAAUUGCAAAGAUACAAAUACUCGACAAUUUUGGAAAAUUGAUGAUAUCAAGAAUCUUUUGAAGCAAUAUUUUGACAUCGUUCGGAGUUAUCAAAGUUUCUUAUACGUAUGGAAAUCCCCCUGUAUCGAUAGCAGCGACGAAAAAAAGAUUUUCUCAUUCAAUUCCUUCACCUCGAUGAUCGCGGAAUGCUCGAAAAAAAUGCAAAAUAAAAAUUCCAUAACUGAUUGCAUAAUAAUACAUCACGGAGAUGAACGAUCGUCUUGUGAAAAAUCAUCUGAAUUCGAAUCAACAUUAAAAAAUCCCUCAAAUUCAACAGAAUGUUAUUCCAAUCAGCAAAAUAUUGAAUCUCAACACCUCAUUGACAGUCCUAAAGAAAAAACAAAGAAAAAUGUUUCUGUUCAAACUUCAGACAAAAAGAGACCAAGGCGUAAAAAGAUGAAGGAAAAAUGUGAAAAUGAACUUAAAGAAGAUUCCUCUUCAAAGGAUAUUAAAACUAUCUUUAAAACCAGUUCUUCAAAUUUCAAUAAUAAAACCAGGAAGACUAAUUCACCAAAAAACAACAAAAUCUAUCGAGGAACAUCUAGCAGAAAAAAAUGUCUCGAAGAUGUGAAAAUUCAAGCACGAGAAGAUACUGAACCACCAAAAGCAAUAUCUCCCAGGAAUAAUACCGGGAACUAUGAAAAUUAUGAUCUAUCAAAACUUCGUCGACAAUGGAAUAAUACAAUUAAAAGUAAAUCGCUGGUUCUUCUCAGAGACAAGGAUAAUCAUUAUAAAUCCAAAACAUAUUCAACCAACAAAAUCUACGACAGGAAUUCAUUAGAAAUCCGUAACAAUUCUCAGUUUCUUUUCGGCGAGGAAGAUUUCGGUGGUGGAGGAGAAGUCAUUCAAUCCAAUACUACUUCACCAGAAAUCUCUAGCGUCUCGUGGCAACCACGAAACUUCAUCGUGGAAGACAAAGCUUCGGAGAUAAUGAUCCUAGGGAAUGUUAAAAAGAGGCUAGAAAAGGACUUCGAUGAUUAUUUCUCGAUCAGUGAAUACGAUUUAGGCAAUGAUGAUUCGAAUGAAUUCUUUGGGACCAAUCUGUCCUCUUCGAGCAUUCAAGUAGAUCAAAAUCCGUCACAAGAACGUUUUAUGUUAAUGACGACGUCGUUGAAACAGCAAAAGUUGCAGCAAUUUCAUGGAAAUUCGGAUGGCAAGAAAGGAAGAAAAUCAAUUCGCACCAAUUUGACGUGCAGAUCUUCGAUACGUUUUUCAAAUCUGGGUAUAAGUCGGUCAGAGAGCAGUUAUCACACCACCUUUCGAGAACAAGGGUGCAGUCCGAAUUCUUCGAUCGAGUACUAUACUGCUAGUAACGUUUCCUUAUCAGAAAUGCACUGUUCGCGGGACAAAUCUUUCGACACGAUGGUUCAAAGUUACUUGACCGAAAAUUGCUUGUCGGACGAUGUCUCGAAGGAAGAGAACGAAACUUUCCAAGAUCCUAGGGAAUUUUUCGAUCGUUCGCUGGUGAAUUCGUACGCGAUGUGCUGCUAUCAACGGAACUCCACGCCAAAAUUGAAAAGUUCCUCGAUACCGAUCACGGAGUCGUUGGAUUCCGGAAUUUUGGCCGAUUGCUCGCGCGAUCAUUUUCGGAUCGCGUCGAAAGGUCGUUUAGGCAGGAAGAAAUGGCGGGAAAGUGGACAGGAAGAAAAGAGCCGAGCUAGAGAAUCGGAUUUGCUACCGACUUACGAUUUCAACACGGAUAGCAGUUAUUCAGACGAAUCUCUUAAUCGAAGGGUCGACGUCGCCGUGGAGGAUAUCACGGAGAAGCUGAUCCUCACUGAAAGAAGGGCGAGAAUCAAAUUGAGGCGACUGAAGGAUCCGGCGAGACACAGACAAGAGAGAAAGCGGUGGAGGAGCAGGCGACAAGUACGUCUGGAAGUUAUUAAUGUUUCAGGAAGCUGGUCAAGAAGUCAUCCCCGUUGUUAAACGAUGACGACUGGAUAUCGAGUAGCUCCUCGCCUCCCUUAUACUCAUUCUCCGAUUCAGAGAUUGACCAUUUGUAGUUCAUAGAAAAAUAGAAAUAACCCAAAGGACCUUUCAAGAACCUUUAAGACACGAAGAAGACGCUAAGAAUCGAUUUGCUCCACAACAAGUACAUUCAUUUAUCUAUAUGGGAAGGAUCCUUAAUGUAGCGUAUAAUGAAUAAGAAUAUGAGUUUUAACCCUAUCGAAUAAUAGUAGAGUAGAUUCCAGAAUAUGUCCUAUUACCCAAAGAGCAAUUACAGAAUGACCUUUCUUUUCAAGUUGUUGACUACGGUGAAUAAAGGAGGAAUGGAAAAAAGGCAAGUUCACAGUUGUGCGAAAGAACGCGAGGUGACGAGGCCAGCAAAAUACUCCGAUCGCCGACAACAAUCACAAAAUGUGUGGAGAUACGUCGAUUCUCGCCUGGUCCGACACAAGUUCGACCACAUCAUUAGACGAGACUGACCGUUUCUGUACUGUGGUUUCCUUUGAUGGAAGCAGAAACGAGCGUACUCGAUAUCCAGCCGAGCGGAAAUGCAUAAACGACCAACACAGACGGGGACAGGCUGGACCUUUUCCUCGUUCGAAAAGGAUGAUGACUGUCCUCUGUAUCAGUAGUCUGACAACGGGCCAACCGUUUGCCCGUCAAACGAGGGCUCCUUCUAAAAGUCUGUUAGACAAACUGACGUUGCCAGUGGAUAGCACCGAUCAAAAGAAAUCUCUCUUCACUAUACACGUCUGACUAGGACGAAGGAAUCAAUUGAUCCACGGGGAUGUUUCAAGGAUGGUCGAAGAAUGGAUGAAGCCUGGUGACGAACGGAGACAUUCAUAGGGUCGGGUCAAAGCAAUUUUCGGCUUCGAAGGCAAUCGUGCUCUAAUACCCCGAGAUAAAAUAAAAUCAAAGGCAGCCUGCCCUUUCGUAAAAACUUUGUUGCAUCGGGACCAUAAGGAUCAACAGGAGCCACGGCCUAAGUUCGAAUUAAUUUUGGGAGCCUGAUGCAGAGGAACUUAGAAACUUCGGUCCAUCUCUCCAACACGGAGGAAACCUCUGCUCCAUAUUUAAUUACAUACAAAUAUCUUGAUGUUAUCAUUACAUUUUGCUAUUAUUUUAUGUUUCGUUAUAGGAACAAAUAUACGAGAGAAGAGAACAA